rnacentral:ncRNA from 1 species
UGAUAGCGAAGAAGCGAGAAGUUGCUGCGAGAGCGGGUUAUUCCGUGGAGCGAAUGUCAAAAAGCCGAUA